rnacentral:misc_RNA from 1 species
UUGGUAUCAAGAGGUGCUACAGCGCUCUGCUUCUGUUUCUCCUUUGUUUGAGAGAGCACGCCAGGGGAACUGACAUGGGGCUGCCCUCGGCCACCACCGCAUCUUUUUCAUUCUCGACUACGAUAAGCGCUGCCGCUGCCAGAGCCGCCGCCGCCGCUACAAAGCCAAGAUCUUUUCUCUACCGCGGCCUUUAUUUCCUUUCAACAUCUUCCUCUCCUCUGCUUCCUUCUCCUAGAAAACGCAGUUUGUAUCCUUGGGGAUCAUCUAUAGAUAAUGUUGCCCACAGAGUUUCUUGUAACCUGUUGAAAGUUGACGAUGACAUAAAUGAUGAGGCAUGUGAGUUAGUUAAUGGAGUGGAACUGUCAAUAGGUGAGGGUGUUGAUUCCAUCCAUGCUUAUCUCUUCAAGGCGGUGAAAAAUAAUAAUGGAACUGGCAUACUGCUUUUGUCUGAUAUUUUUGGGUUUGAAGAUUCAUCUACAAGAGACUUUGCAUAUCGUGUUGCCUGCAAUGGCUACAAUGUUCUAGUUCCUGACUUAUUUCGUGGAGACCCAUGGGCAAAAGACCGGCCAAUGACAAUGUUUGAACAUUGGUUAGCAAAACAAGAACCCCAGAGAGUUGCAAUGGAUAUUGCCACCGCAGCAAAAUGGAUGGCUGAUGAAUUUUUAGCUGUGGGAAUCUCAAAGAAGCUGGGCAUAAUUGGGUUUUGCUUUGGAGGAGGCCGACUGAUUGAGGUGCUAUCGAGAGACCAAGGAGCUUGUUUUGGCGUUGGGGUCUCCUUUUACGGUACGAGGAUGGAUCCAUCAGUAGCUUCCAAUGUAAAGGUUCCAGUAUUGUUUAUUUCAGGGGACAAUGAUCCACUUUGCUCAGUCAAUGUCUCGAAAGAUAUCGAGAAGAGAAUUGGUCAUGGGUCAAGGGUAAUUGUUUUUCAGGAAAGAGGUCAUGGCUUUGCGCAUCGUCCUAACUCCCCUGAAGAAGAUAGAGAUGCAGAGCAAGCUUUUGUACUCAUGAGAAAUUGGCUACACGAUGGUUUGGUCUUAGAAGAAUGAGGACAGGCUAUGCAAAUUCAUUGUGCUUGUCAAGUUUGCUGCAUCCGCUGCUGAUGAAUAGGCUGAAAUUUCUAGGGAGAGUAAUGAUGGAACACCGAAGGUUUAAUGCUGUAGAUAGUUUGUGUCAAAAGUUCUACAAGAUGCAUUGUUGAAUAGAAAACAUAGUAGAGGAAGUCAUGUACUUUGUUCAAAUUGUAAUUAUCCUAACUCCGAUGUUGUACAAACGGUAAAGCCAAGCAUUGCAGGAUUGUAGUGUUGGA